rnacentral:rRNA from 1 species
GAUGAACGCUAGCGGCAGGCUUAACACAUGCAAGUCGAGGGGCAGCGCGGGAUAGCAAUAUCCUGGCGGCGACCGGCGGAAGGGUGCGUAACGCGUGAGCGACAUGCCCGUUGCCCGGGGACAACCGGUGGAAACGCCGACUAAUCCCCGAUGGGACAUUGUGCCGCAUGGCACGAUAUUGAAAGUUACGGCGGCGACGGAUUGGCUCGCGUCCGAUUAGCUUGUUGGCGGGGUAACGGCCCACCAAGGCUGCGAUCGGUAGGGGUUCUGAGAGGAAGGCCCCCCACAAUGGGACUGAGACACGGCCCAUACUCCUACGGGAGGCAGCAGUGAGGAAUAUUGGUCAAUGGGCGGAAGCCUGAACCAGCCAUGCCGCGUGCGGGAAGGAGGCCCUAUGGGCUGUGAACCGCUUUUGCCUGGGGGCAAUAAGGGCGUCGCGCACGUCCGAUGAGAGUACCAGGCGAAUAAGCAUCGGCUAACUCCGUG